rnacentral:rRNA from 1 species
GACGAACGCUGGCGGCGUGCUUAACACAUGCAAGUCGAACGGAAAGGCCCUGCUUUUGUGGGGUGCUCGAGUGGCGAACUGGUGAGUAACACGUGAGUAACCUGCCCUUGACUUUGGGAUAACUUCAGGAAACUGGGGCUAAUACCGGAUAGGAGCUCCUGCUGCAUGGUGGGGGUUGGAAAGUUUCGGCGGUUGGUGAUGGACUCGCGGCUUAUCAGCUUGUUGGUGGGGUAGUGGCUUACCAAGGCUUUGACGGGUAGCCGGCCUGAGAGGGUGACCGGCCACAUUGGGACUGAGAUACGGCACAGACUCCUACGGGAGGCAGCAGAGGGGAAUAUUGCACAAUGGGCGGAAGCCUGAUGCAGCAAAGCAGCGUGCGGGAUGACGGCCUUCGGGUUGUAAACCGCUUUCGCCUGUGACGAAGCGUGAGUGACGGUAAUGGGUAAAGAAGCACCGGCUAACUACGUG